rnacentral:rRNA from 1 species
AACAGCCGCGGUAAUUCCAGCUCCAAUAGCGUAUAUUAAAGUUGUUGCAGUUAAAAAGCCGUAGUUGAAUUUCGGAUUGACACAUCGGUCGUGCCUUAAGGGGUAUGAACUGGUGUAGCAAUUUCUCACCUUCUGGAGAACCGCGAUGCCCUUAAUUGGGUGUCGCGGGAACCAGGAUUUUACUCUGAACAAAUUAGAUCGCUUAAAGAAGGCCUAUGCUCGAAUAC